CAAGUUUUUCUAUUUCAAAAAUCAGUGUAGACUCUUGACAAAUUCCUAGAUAGAGCAGUCUGAACACUCUAGUGAAUACCGACGAAAGACUCAGGAACAUUUCAGUGACUGAAACAUAGAAUUUACAGUUAUGAUUUGACCAUUUUAAUGCUGCUUUUUGUGAACAUUCACAGGAUCAAAACUUUGCUUUACAAAUGUUCCAAAUAAUUACCAAAUGGAAUCCCUGUUGGGAGGGGGCAUCACCUUAGAAAUUCUCCCUGUGUUUUAUGGUCAUCCAAAGAUGGACCAGAAGCAAUAUCAUGUAACUUAGAUGACCACUUACGGAGCUCCAGUGUCAGCUACAAAUACAGAAUACCCAUAGGAAAGAGUUACACAGCAAUCUAUAAAUCUACAUAUGUUUGCACAGAACAUUUAUCAAACAAUUUCAUACAUCAAAUAAGCCUGUCAGACUGCAGUCUGCUCAUAAUUUGUGAACAGGAACAAGGGCUAAAUUCAUUAAAUAAAUUGUUUGUUGUGAAUUGUUCACCCAACUCCCCUCCGAGGUGCAUUGCAAAGAAGUCGUGUAAUGUCUGCUUUGCAGGCUAUAUAAAGACAGGCAUUAAAAGGCUGCUUACACCUUUUCCCCUUGUUUCCAUCCUUAUGAAUAUUUUAAAACCGUGUCCAGUUCUCUGUGUUCUUCAUGAUUAAAUGCUACUAUUCCCUUAGUUCUCCAUGAACUGGUAUAUUCUGAUUGAAAUAAACAACAGGUAACAGAAAAGACCCCACGGCAUUAUUAAUUACCCUAACUGUCAAUUAUACGUUACCCACAGGAACAAGACAGAUGGUAAGACAAACAGUGGUGAGAUAGACUGGUAUGGCUGACUGCUUCACACUCACCUUAGAAAGAAAGAUGAUACAUCACUGUUAGUGUGAACUGAGAAAGGAUGACCUUCUGUGACACAUACAAGACAUAUUGAGGGAAGUGUCCAAACCCAGCUGAAGGAGAACUAAUCCUGUGGAGCCCAGCAGAGCAGCAGGAUCAUAUAUGAACAUCUGCAAAAUCUAUUAGGAAGAACAGAACAAUGGUAUAGACCAAGACAUGGAUUGAAGACUUGCUCCAGUUUAGCCUGAGGAUGUCACACAUGCACCUCAUCAAGUCCACUCUCACAUUGACAGACGGAGGCUUGGUGGAUGAUUGGUUGCAUCUGACGAAAUUCAGAACAGCUUCUUAAAGGAGAUAAAGUGCCAAUUGAAAGCCAGGAUUGUCCUGUCGGUGAUUGUCUGCUGUUUGCAAUCAGUCUG